GUAGCUUGCUACUUUGCCGGCGAGCGGCGGACGGGUGAGUAAUGUCUGGGGAUCUGCCUGAUGGAGGGGGAUAACUACUGGAAACGGUAGCUAAUACCGCAUGACCUCGAAAGAGCAAAGUGGGGGACCUUCGGGCCUCACGCCAUCGGAUGAACCCAGAUGGGAUUAGCUAGUAGGUGGGGUAAUGGCUCACCUAGGCGACGAUCCCUAGCUGGUCUGAGAGGAUGACCAGCCACACUGGAACUGAGACACGGUCCAGACUCCUACGGGAGGCAGCAGUGGGGAAUAUUGCACAAUGGGCGCAAGCCUGAUGCAGCCAUGCCGCGUGUGUGAAGAAGGCCUUCGGGUUGUAAAGCACUUUCAGCGAGGAGGAAGGCAUUGUGGUUAAUAACCGCAGUGAUUGACGUUACUCGCAGAAGAAGCACCGGCUAACUCCGUGCCAGCAGCCGCGGUAAUACGGAGGGUGCAAGCGUUAAUCGGAAUUACUGGGCGUAAAGCGCACGCAGGCGGUUUGUUAAGUCAGAUGUGAAAUCCCCGCGCUUAACGUGGGAACUGCAUUUGAAACUGGCAAGCUAGAGUCUUGUAGAGGGGGGUAGAAUUCCAGGUGUAGCGGUGAAAUGCGUAGAGAUCUGGAGGAAUACCGGUGGCGAAGGCGGCCCCCUGGACAAAGACUGACGCUCAGGUGCGAAAGCGUGGGGAGCAAACAGGAUU
rnacentral:rRNA from 1 species